UGAGAGACGGAGAGCUGAGUCAGAGCUGUGGGGGGCAGCGGGGAGGGAGAGAGCCGCGGAGAAGGGGUGAAAGCAGAGGAGGAGGGGGUAUCCAUGGAAAUAAACCGGGUCUCAGGGAAAUCAGGCUUCUGGAGAGUGAGUUUGUUUGUAAUAAUAAUACGAAUUAUUCUCUCAGCCUGAGGUCACCGGGAGGUGUAGGCGGGAGAAAUUGGGAGUUGGAAAGGGGAAGAAUGGGGGAGGGGGUGGGAGAGGGCCGGAUGAAUUCGCUGAGCGGCGAGAGUGGAGUGGGUGCCUGGGUGGGGGUCAGGGGCGGUAGCCAGGCAGAAGCUGGAGGGAGAAGAUGGAUUAGGAGGCGCCUCUCUUCCCUCCCCGCGUCAAAGGAACGUGAUUGGACACAGCUUUGGGCUCUGUUGUUUCGAGUGCGCUAUUUUGUCCAUCCAAACAGAAGAUUAUGAAUGGAGAGCUACAUCCCAUGGGGUGGCAGAUGAAGAUGUGCAAGAAGAAGACACUAACAACUGAAUUGCAGAUUGAGGAGAUGAGAUUAUGGUGACAGAAUCCAUCUUCGGUGUAUGUGCAUGAAGAAAUAAGCCAAAUCUACAUCUAUAAAACCGCGGGAAGGAAUGAGAUAAUAAUCAGUUGCAGGUCUGCUUAGAUUUUAAUCGUUUAGUGUAGUUCGUGGCAGGGUCUGAUACCCUAUUUCAAUAGUGGAGAGAAUUAGAAAGCAUUUUCUUUUUUCAUAUCUACUAUUAUUGGUUAUAUAAAAGAAGUAUCAAAUAG
rnacentral:lncRNA from 1 species